AGAGUUUGAUCAUGGCUCAGGAUGAACGCUGGCGGCGUGCUUAACACAUGCAAGUCGAGCGAAGCGAUUCAAAUGAAGUUUCGGAUGGAUUUGAAUUGACUUAGCGGCGGACGGGUGAGUAACGCGUGGGUAACCUGCCUCAUACAGGGGGAUAACAGUUGGAAACGGCUGCUAAUACCGCAUAAGCACACAGUGCCGCAUGGUACGGUGUGAAAAACUCCGGUGGUAUGAGAUGGACCCGCGUCUGAUUAGGUAGUUGGUGAGGUAACGGCCCACCCAAGCCGACGAUCAGUAGCCGACCUGAGAGGGUGACCGGCCACAUUGGGACUGAGACACGGCCCAAACUCCUACGGGAGGCAGCAGUGGGGAAUAUUGGACAAUGGGGGAAACCCUGAUUACCCAGCGACGCCGCGUGAGUGAAGAAGUAUUUCGGUAUGUAAAGCUCUAUCAGCAGGGAAGAAAAUGACGGUACCUGACUAAGAAGCCCCGGCUAACUACGUGCCAGCCGCCGC
rnacentral:rRNA from 1 species